UUUGUUUGUGACAUAAGUUAUGACUAAUAUUUUAUUUCACAAGAUCUAAAUUUAUAUUAAAAGAAAUUAUGAAUUAUUGCAUUUAAAGUUAUGCAUUCAUGUAUCUGACAGUUAAUCACAAAUUCAACUAAAAAUUAAAUUAUACAUACUAUUAAGUCCAAAAACACUUUAUAUUAAUAACAUCAUCCAAAAACACUUGAAUCCAACAGUUAACACAUCCAAAGUAAUUAAAAAGUUAAUUCCAACAAAAUUUUCAAUAUUUUACAAGCUAAGAAGCCAUCCAAUCUUGUAGUGUGAACUCUUCCCAUACUCUCAGUAAAAUUCCAAUAGAUAAAAUCCCAUUCUUAGCAAAUACCCAGCAAAUCUCCCAAGUCUAGCAAUUUCUCCCACGCUGCAUGUGCAAUACCAACUAAAUAUAGCCAACACUAUCAUUAUAAAGAUAUAAUGUCCAAAACUAGGGGUCUUGCACAUGACAACCAACAGAAUAAUUAUUGUGGUAGCACAUGUUGCAGACUAGUCAAAUCUUUAUUUUUUUAGUAAUUCUACACAAAAUUGUCUUAGCAUCAGAAAUGGCAAGUUGUUUGGCAAACAUAAAAUAUAAUGUCAAGUAUUGGCAUUGAUUUUCAUGAAAUUAUUAGUCUGCAUUUUUAAGUUUUUAACUUAAAGUUUGAUAGGUCAUGGUGCUUGCCUAAGCAUCUAGAAUGGUAAGUGCAAAGUGUCAGCACUGAUUUUCAUGAACAUUAUUAGUCCGAUUUGUUUCAAGGUUUUAGGUCUAAAUCUUGUAGAACAACAUGGUCCUUUAUACAGUAACUUUAAACAUAAUUGUCUAAGCAUCUAGAAUGGUGAGUACAUGGGCCAAGUGUCAACACUGAUUAUAAUUAACAUUAUCAGUGUACUUUGUUUUACAUUUUGAGGUUUGAGUCUAAUAUCUUGCAAAUUAUUGUAAAAGAGAACAUAUUGAUAUCCUUUCUAACUAGAAGCCAUUUACUACAUUGUGAAAUCUAUCACACAAUCUUCCAAGCAACACAAUUUGGCUACCCAAGAAGCCACAUCCCAAACAAUUUGAUAGAAUAAAAUCAAGGCAACAAGAAUACUUUUUAAUUCCAUGAUGAACAAUACAAAAAUUUGAACUACAACAGCCCAGAAUUUUAGAAUGAAUUAGACUUCAAAACUAACCUGCCUAAGGAGUACACAAACCUCUUCCUUCUCUUGAUAAGAUAUACCUACAUUUUAAUAAAAGCAACACAUUUCAGCAACUUAAUAAUUAAUGCAAAAAUUUCAGGAGUGACUUGGGGACAGCCAUUGACAUUAAAGAAUGGCCAACAAAUCAUGUUUGAUCAUGAAUUUGAAGAGUCUAGCAAUACUCGCAAGCAGUAUCAGAGAGUGAUAAAAUAUGAAUAAUAAAUAAAGUCUAGAACAAAAAGAUGCUCUUAAAUCUAUCAAGUCACAAAACCACAACUUAAUCUUGAGCAGAAAGGCAAGCCACAGCCUUUUACUUAUCAGAUCUCUACAAAAAUAGGGCACACAAAUCAAAUAAAGAACUAAAAAUUAUAGAGUGCCACUUUACAGUGGAGAAAGGAAACCAGAUGAAUAGAAGAUGAUAAUUAAAGCAUUUGGCGAGCAUCUUCUUUUCUUCUUAUUUAUUUUCUUGUCUUGGUUGGCUUAAUUGGGCAUAGGGAAAAGUAAAUUGUCUACAAAUCCUGAGUUCUAAAUAGGAAUACACAACUAGCUUAACAAAAGAAAGGCGUCAGGGUAACUAUUGAGAAUAAAAUAUUGGAAGCAAUUUACAAAAGGACUCUGCUAACUAAACACUUGAUCUAACAAACAAACAUUGAGGCAAACAAAAAGGUUCAAUGACACAAAACAAAUAUUUACUUAAAUGGAUACCACGUCAUAUAAAUACCACAAUAGCGUGGAUCGGUGAGGAGACCAACAAAUGAUAUGUAGUCAUCUGGUGAUCUUUUCCAACCUUCCUGCUCCUUUAUUAGAGAAUAAGCAAUAUGCAAUCCACCAGGAAGAAAAGGCAUUCUUAGAAAUAUAUUCACUUAUUAUGUCAAUAAUAAAUUGAUGGCUCCAAACUCAACAAGAAUUUUGCUUUUAUAAGUCAUUUCAAAUCUAAAUUACUAUUCCAAUAACAUAAGUGUAAAAGUUGAAAUAGAUACUUAAAUUUACAAAUGAUAGCAAAAAGUAAAAGUCCAUGUCAAGUAAAAGCAAGUAAAUUUAAAAAUCAAACCAGUGCUAGCGAAAGAGAAUUUUGUCCUAUUAUUAAUUACUAAAAACAAAUAUCAUAACUCAUCAACCUCAUCUAAGGACAAAUCCUCUCUACCUUCAUUACAUUAUGAUCUCGAAGCACCACAUCAGUCUAAUUAUGGUUUAACAGGUUUCCAAAAUAACUCCAUAACCAUUUCCAAAAGGAAAUUGCAGACUGACAAUGCAAAAUUUCUUUAUACAACUGGGAAAUGUUUUUGGUUUUUCCUUCUACAUUUACAAGAUCUCUCCAGCUAAUAACUGAUAAAGCAAUCAUGGUUUAAUAGACAUAGCCAAUAAUAUGUACAAGAGGUUCAAUCCAGACUUGUCCAUAAUUGUAGGUAAGUAAAGCAUUUAGGUAAAAAACAAAACAGAAACUUUGACGUGCUCAAAACUUCACUUGUUUUCCAUUCCUAAUAUCUCCAAACAAAAUCAAAAUAAGACACCUUUUAUUUAUCUUAAAAAAGUACCAAAAGCCACAAUCCUGCAAUAGUUUUCAGUAGGUUAUAAAGGAUAUUUACAUGGGUAUCCAACAACAUUGUGCAACUUAAUGUGAAAUUGAAAAUAUAAUGCCUACAAAAAAAAAAAAAGUAAAAACAGAAAUAACAUACUUUCAAACAUAUCAUACAUGCCAUGAUGCAGAAGUAAACAAAUUUAAUGGGAGACCUCACUAUCUCGUUUGCAAUCGUGAAUAACUUUUGUUAUGUAACAAGACUCAAGUACAGGCUUACAGGCUUUUAUAACCGUCUCCCCACUCUGAAUGGCGUCAACUAGAUAUAUAGCAUCUGGAAACGCUAGCUGCCAAAAAGAACAAAGCUUAAGUUUAUAAAUUUUCUCAUAAAUCAAAUUCACAUACAUAUAGUAGAUGGGGUUUGACUCAUUCCUAUUAAAACACAAAAAAAAAACAUAAAGAUGCAUUUCAUUUGGCACAAAUAGUAAAUGGAUCAAAAGGACAGCAAAACACAUUAUACUUGCAUAAUACAAAGAAUUCCAUGGUGUCAAAGGUCAACUCCCUCACAGUCAAAACCAAUGACCAAUUGCCUUUCAGACGACGGUUCUAGGAAUUCAGCAGGAAUUUGAGAAGCAUUGGUCACAAUGUGGAUUAGAACCAUUGAAUCUAUGGGCUUUCUAUAUGAAAUGUAAGAAAAACGAUGGAGGAAAAAAAUGCCGCAACUCUAUAAAGCUUCAACCAAUAACUCAAAAAGAAUAUAUCAGUUGCUUAUAACAAAUUAAGAAAAAAAAUUGUAAAUAUGAUUCUAACAAAUUAGUGCAUGAAUUUGAAAUUUCUUCGAAAAAAACUCCUUUGCUACUUAGAUUCAAGAUUCGUAAAGAAUAAAAUUUUUCAUCUUCACAUAAUUUCUAAGUAACCAAACAGAAAACAAGUUCAAAAUACAAAAAGCUAAAUGAAAAACAAAUCUAAUCACAUGAGCAAGCAAUCCCCAAUUAACGAUUCGCAAAUACUCAAUUACAACCUAAAUUUUAAAAUUAAAAUUCCUGAUCAAUAUUAAAAAAUUAAAUGUAAAUUAAAUUAAUUAAUUACCAAGGUCUGAAGAGAGGGGAAUACGACUGUGAUGAGAAGGAGACGAAGCCAUGUCAACGGGGACCAUCCAAUCAGAUUAAUUUUUUUUUCGUUGCAGUGUACCCUAUUAAGGUUUUUAUUCUGGCUUUUCUUUUUUUAUCUUUUUUGGAAAUGAAUUUAAAUAUAGAAAAAGUUAAAAAAAAAGUCGGUUGUUCUCACAAACAAACAAAUUUCUCCCCCAAAAGAAUGCAUGCUAGAAUCAAAUACAAAAACUAAGCAUUUACCUUGUAGAUGCUUCACUGAAAGGACUAAAAUCUUCAAUGGCGAGAGACCAGAUACAGUAGUGACGAAUCUUCGUUUCUAAGAUUUAGUUCGUAGUUCAAACAUUGGCUUCAAUGGCAAGUUGAAUGCAAGCGAUUUGAACAACUAUUUUGCAUGAUCAACGAUUCGCGUCGCAUCGCGCCAUCGCCAUUCAUAGUCAUGGUGGUCAGCUCGAAUUCGAUCAAUGGGUCUGAGAUUUGGGUGUUGCUUUGCCGUUCGAUCUGUGUUUGGAAAACUAAGGGUAGGGAACGGUCUGCCAACUUAGGGUUUGGGUAGUGUACGUAGUGGCUGAUUGAUUGAGAAUCACGAUGAGUAUUUAGGCUAGGGUUUGAGUGUUGUGUCUAGGGAUGGCAAUGGGCACCGAGUGGGUUUGUCAUUAC
rnacentral:lncRNA from 1 species